rfam:Asian citrus Psyllid, Diaphorina citri - Florida Strain, whole genome shotgun sequence.
GGCCGAGUGGGUAUCACACUUGGCUUGCAUGCAGGAGGCCCGGGUUCGAUUCCCGGCGGGGCCG